AGGCCCGUUGUCCCCCAUGGAAUAACGGAAGAAAAAUAACCUUCGUUCUCAUAUACGAUACCAUUUCAAAGUAUAUGAGGGAGCGUCUGACUACGAAUCAGAAGGUCGGGGGUUCAAAUCCCUCCGGGCGUACCA
rnacentral:tRNA from 1 species